UUCACCCCAAGGGUUACCAGCCACCUCUGCAGCUGGGAGCCCCCUGGGUGAUUUAAAGGCCCUGGGACUCCCAGCCACAGCUGGUACCCCAGGACCUUUAAAUCUUGAGGCCACGCCCCCUCCCGGACUCCAGGCCUUUCAGCGUAAAACUGAAAUCGUGCAUGUUAAAUGCGCGUAAGUUGCGAGACCUGUACAACAAACAACAAAGAAAAUUAU